GGUUUGCAAAAGAAAAAAAAAUCAAGUCAUGGGUGAAGAGGCCUAAUUAAAAUGGAAUGGCACUGAAAAUCCCCAAGGCUGGGUGCUGGCAGACCACCCUAUGGGGCUGGGUAAGACAUUCCAAAAAGCCUGUAGAGGGAGGGGCCCUGCUGGGGGAGGGGCUCAGGAAUCUGGCCUGGCCUUCAGGAAGACCCCAGCCAGCUCUAAUGGGAACCACACAUGGGGUGAGCUUGGAAUCCCAGAUUGCCUAUGACGUGGAUUUGGAAUUGGACACUAGGCUGGGGUCACUUCUGACCCGCCUAAGUCUGAGGCCUCCCAGUCCUAGCUCCCUUCCUAAUCGCUGCCAGACGCAUUCUGCCCUGCACCCAGCCCUGAGGCCUGCCCAGAUCCUGGAAAGGGGUUGCUUUUUGAGCCCCAUUUUCUGCUGCUAGGAGAGCAUGUAAGCCCUGGGGGUGUAGGGUGUUCAGAGAAUUCAAGGCUUCCUGCUGGGUCAAGGGUUGAUGCCAUCAGAGAUAGCAGACCAAGAAGUUCCUUCCAAUGUCCCCCAAAACAGUGUGCCCUGAACUUACACCCCUGCUGGAGCCCUGAGCUGCUUCUGGCCUUGUAGAGACUGGUGCCCUCAGCCUCCAUCCCUUGCCUGCAGCAUCUGUAGGGCACUCUGUGGCUCUGUCAGUCUUAGCCUGUCCCCAUGCCCCACAGGGUUAAUUUCUUGCACCAUCCUCAGGCAUCAAGAGCAGGGACAGUCCAAUGGGCAGGGGAAGAGCCCUUCCAGCAGGUGAUUUGCUCCCAAGGAUCCCAAACAAGGAGGGAAGUGAGUCUCUUCUAGCAUACUUCCUGAUACUUUUUCCUCCCCCUAACCCAAACACCUUCUGGCCUAAGAACUGGAGCAGUGUGGAAAGAUGUUUCAAUGUACUGUAGGCCAGGACCUAGAAUAACCCUCAGCCCUUGUUUGAGUGGCUCACUCAGUCUUAGGGCCAUGGCUGUCAUCACAUCUGCUAAACCCUCUUCAUAGCCCCCUGACUGUGGUGUGUAUUUGGAGGAGAAGGGGUGCACUUUCUGCUUAAGUCCCUGACACUCCCAAAGACACCCCUCCAUGCCCUGGUGCCCAGCCCCCUCCCCCUUGGUACCUUCCUUGAGAACUUCCAGGCAGCCUGCUCAGCAUCAGGCCAGGGGCCCAGGAGCUGGGACAGGCUGCAUUCCUGGGGGAAGGGAAGAGGAGAGGAGGACUGUAAGGAGCCCCCUCCCUUCCAGCACAGACCCCCUGCGGCCCAGGCUGACGCUCUCUAGUCAUGCUGAAGAUGGCCAGUGUAGCUCCAACGGAGCCCCCUGGCAAAGGCAGCAGGGCCAGGGCAAUAAGGGCCCCUCCUGGCCUCUGCGGAGGAUUAAGCCUUCUAUAUCCUGGAGCUAUUCCACUCCUGCUGAGACCUAAGGUUCUUGCAUUGAUAGGAGCUCACAGUGGGCAGUGCGUGUCUGUGAGGUGAAGUGACCAGACUGGGAGGAGACACAGGGGAGGGGACUAGGGCACCCCCUUGGCAUGACUUAACACAACAUUCCUUCUGCAGGGCAGCACAAUCUCCCAAGUCUCUAGAGAGGGCUCAGGGACUUCCAGAGAGAAUCAGGCCAGCAGGACGGAAACAGGCAGCAGUUGUAGGAGAGUGCUGGGGAAGAGGGUGCCUCCUCGGGACUGGGGAUUCGGGUCGUCUCUCUAACCCCACCCAUCCCCAUCCCCCAGCCCGGUUUCGGGAAGCUCUCCCAAUGAAUAUUUAAUAGCUCAGCGCUAGGCCUGAUUGAAUUUUAAUGCAGGCGACCCGAGUCCGGAGCCCAAGUCCAGGCAAUUAGUCAGGAGCCAUUAACGCUGACGGCGCUGAUUUAUGGGCGGGCCCAGUCCGGCUGCCAGGGCAGCCCUGGCUGUCGGGCGGCCCGCGAUUGGGCGGACAGGAUCUCCCGCAUGAACCAAUCCGUCCGGCUGCCUCGGCCUGCUUUGCAUCUCAUUUGCAUGGCACUCCCAGUGGGCAAACCUGGGCGGUGGCCUGUGAGGGGGCCCCGGGGCAGGUUGGGGGAAUGGCCGGGAGCGCCUCCAGGGGCCUGGCCAGGAUUUAUGGCUACGCCAGGAAAACUUCUCUCCGUUUUGCACGUGUAAUUCUAUUAGACAAUCCCCCUGUUCGAGGAGCCUCCCCCCAUACCCUAGUUCAUUUCUGAGGGAAAAUUCCAGAGGAAAAAGGAGGGAGCAGACACUAGGGCCAACGUGGAAACUGGGCACAGCUGCUGCGACUCAGGACCUAACAAGGGCUCUGCAGUUAAUGGACAGGAGGCUUAUUGGGCCCUUACUGUGUGCCCGGCACUGCACUUAGUAGGCCUCCCACCUUCCUGCUCACUUCUCCUCCUCCUCCCGCUCCUCCCUCCCCAUCCCUCACCCCCUCGCCCCUCAGGGGGAGGUUCUGCACUCACGCGCAGGGGGUUGGGUUUUCCGGGUGCUGGAUUAUGCCCCAGAGGGGUAAUGAAGUCACGGGGCUCUUGGCGAGAUGGCCUCCUCCCCUCCCCUGCCUGCCCCUCAUCCCCCUGACCUGUGUGCACGAGCUGGGACUCAGCCUGGAGUGCUCUAUUGAACUAUGCCGACCCCUUAAAUCAUAGGUCAAGGAUUUAGCCGGCCUGUCUGCUGCCACUCUGGCAGGUGGCCUCCUCCUCACCAGCUCCACCCCUUUCCAAGCCAUUAUGCACUGCGGACGUGGUGGCAGGUGGCAUCUGUCCCUCACCAGGCCAGCUUCCCCAAGGGUCCAGGCCUCAUCUGAGCUGGCAUGGAGAGAGCCCGUGGUCCUUACUGGGGGCAUGAGCAAUGGAGCGGGGUGGAUAGAGCUCUGGGCUGGGAGGCCAGUUUCUACAGGGCAGCAAUGGAGAGGUUGGGGGGGAUGGGGAGACAUUAGUCAAGGAAGGCUUCCUGGAAGAGGCAAGGCAGAUACUGGAAGGAAGGGAGGGGGCGGGUGUGUCAAAGAAAAAUAAAAGGAGAGGAAAUCCUCUGCAGGGGAACAUCCUGUUUGAGGCAAGAGAGGGUAAAGUGAAAGCUCACAGAGCUCCAUGCUUGCCAGCCAGCUGUGGCUAGUACUCUAGCACAGUAGCUGAGCAUGACGCUGCCUGGAGGCAGAUGCAGCAGGGUGUGAAGGGAUGAUGAAAAUUAUUAUCACGAUUUAAUGAGCACCUACUAUGUGCCAGGCACUAUGCUAAGCACUUUAAAUAUAUUAUUUCAUCUACUGAAUUAAGUAUUCUUAGAAUUCCCAUCUUACAGAUGAGGAUACUGCAGCUCCAAGAGAGGUGGUAGCUUGACUGAGAUCACGUAGCCAGUGGUGGCAGAGCACUUGCUUUUGUCCACUACUCCAUGCUGUUCACAGAAUGUAUCAUAUACCUGGUAGCCACCAUUCCCAUCAAGAUAUAGAACACUGACAUCAUGUCGGCAAGUUCAUGUCCAUAGGCAGUCAGCCCUUCCCUCACCCCCCGCUACAGGUAAACACUGAUAUGAUUUCUAUCUCUAUAGACCAGUUUUGGACGUUCUAGAUCUUCUUAGGAAUGCGUGCAUAUUUUAUGUACUCUUCUGCGUCUGCUUUUUUGCUUUAGAUAAUGUUUUUGAGAUUCACCCAUUUUGUUGUAUAUAUCAAUAGUUCAUUUUUAUUGCUAAAUACAAUUGCAUUCUAUAAAUAUCCUACCAUGUUUCUUUCUCUUUUCUCUGCCAUCUUCAUGAUGUUGGUUUUUAUCCUUAUACCCUGACCUCUCAAAGUCACAAGGUAGGCUGAAGCUUCAGAUAUCACAUGCAGACCACAACAGAGGCCAGGAAAAGAUGUUUCUCCUUCAGCCCAUGUGAAAUCUUUCCAGAAGUCUCCGCUAGGUAUGGCCAUGUAACCAAGUUAUGCCCAAUAAGAUGUAAACAGAAACGUUCUGUGGGACGUCUGAGACGGCUGUUUAAGGAAGCUACUCUGCUGAGGAACAACUGUUUGCCCUUCUGCGUUUGCUCCUUUUGAUCUAUAUCAUGGAUCUGACGGCUGGAACUCCAGCAGCCAUUUUGGAAUGUGAGGUGAAUCUGAGAAUGAAAUCACAUGAGCCAGGGGAGGCCAGCUGCCCCAUCUUGAAGACAGUGAGGAGGUCUACAGAGGUGCCCAGAUUGUGAGGCCCUGAGGUGUCUAACCAAGAGCCAGCUAGGAGCUGAGGUCUGCCAACAGCUAUGAAAAUGAACUUGGAAGUGGUCUGUCCAGCCCAUGAGCCUGAGCCACCCAGUUAAGCCACUCCCAGAUUCCUGACCCAUGGAAAGUAUAAGAUAAAUGUUAGUUGCUGAAAACUACCUA